AUACUUACCUGGCAGGGGAGAUACCAUGAUCACGAAGGUGGCUUUCCCAGGGCGAGGCUUACCCAUUGCACUCCGGAUGCGCUGACCCCUGCGAUUUCCCCAAAUGUGGGAAACUCGACUGCAUAAUUUGUGGUAGUGGGGGACUGCGUUCGCGCUUUCUCCUG
ensembl:snRNA U1 U1 spliceosomal RNA